rnacentral:rRNA from 1 species
GACGUAGGGGGCAAGCGUUGUUCGGAAUUAUUGGGCGUAAAGCGCUCGUAGGCGGGAUUGGAAGUCCGUGUUGAAAGACCUCGGCUCAACUGAGGGACCGGCUCGGAUACUCUAAUUCUUGAGGCAAUCAGAGGAUGAUGGAAUUCCCGGUGUAGCGGUGAAAUGCGCAGAUAUCAGGAGGAACACCGAUGGCGAAGGCAGUGGGCUGGGCCGGCACUGACGCUGAGGAGCGAAGCGUGGGGAGCGAACAGG